GUGGGGAAUCUUCCGCAAUGGACGAAAGUCUGACGGAGCAACGCCGCGUGAGUGAAGAAGGUUUUCGGAUCGUAAAGCUCUUUCGUCAGGGACGAACGUAUUUCUUGUAAAUAAUGAGAGAUAGUGACGGUACCUGAAUAAGAAGCCACGGCUAACUACGUGCCAGCAGCCGCGGUAAUACGUAGGUGGCAAGCGUUGUCCGGAAUUAUUGGGCGUAAAGCGCGCGCAGGCGGGAUAUCAAGUCUGUCUUAAAAGUGCGAGGCUCAACCUCGUGAGGGGACGGAAACUGGUAUUCUUGAGUGUCGGAGAGGAAAGUGGAAUUCCAAGUGUAGCGGUGAAAUGCGUAGAGAUUUGGAAGAACACCAGUGGCGAAGGCGACUUUCUGGACGAUGUCUGACGCUGAGGCGCGAAAGCUAGGGGAGCGAACGGGAUUAGAUACCCUGGUAGUCC
rnacentral:rRNA from 1 species